CUCAAUCACCAUCGCUCUCGGCCUCCCUCCGACUCACCGAUCAGAUCGAACCGCUGGAGAAUUAUCCUACGGUUCUAAUUUUCACAACGGGAUCUCACACAAUUUUCAUGUUUCCUCUUUAAUUUUCAGAUUCCCUCUUCACCCAUAUCGAAUUCUCUCUUCGUUUCAUUACAACAUAACAAAAAGAACAAAUGGGUUUCCUCUCCUUCAACUCUCCUUGACCUAAUUUCUUUAUAUCAUCGCAGAUAGAAGCUUGAGGACUGAACCCCAACUCCAAAAUCAAGACCAGAGAAGCUUUGACUUUCAGUUACUCUCUUCUCUCCCUAAUUUUCAAUUGGUGGGUGUUCAAAUUUAUGGGUUUAUGGUAGGGAUUAGUGUUUAUAUUCAUGGGUACUGUUGAAAUUGCUUCCUCAUGCUCUUGUUCUUGGAAGAGAGAUCUUCGGUCUUGAACGAGCUCGUCAAGUACAAAAGGAAGAGAACAUUUGGCGAAGCUAGCUUCACCCAGUACCUUUAACAGCACCAGAUAAUGUUUUGAGAAGCUGUGGCGGGGGAGCUUGCAAGACUGAGAAGGAGAGCUCUACUGAUGGUGGUCUCAAUGACAUUGCGUUUCUUUUACUUCCUACUGAUUAAGAGUUGGCUGCUGCAUUUGUGGACUAAAAGAGAAGAUUCCUUCAAGGACCUGAGACUGAUCCAGCAACUGUGAAAAAAAUAAGAGAGGCAAUUGACAACCAGACUGACGUGACUGUACAACUCAUCAAUUACACGAAAAGCGGCAAAAAGUUCUGGAAUGUCUUUUAUCUGCAGCCUAUGCGUGAUCAAA